rnacentral:rRNA from 1 species
GACAGAGGGUGCAAACGUUGUUCGGAAUUACUGGGCGUAAAGCGCGUGUAGGUGGCAAGGCAAGUCGGGUGUGAAAGCCCUGGGCUCAACCCAGGAAGUGCACUCGAUACUGCCUCGCUAGAGUCCCGGAGAGGUUGGUGGAACUCUCGGUGUAGAGGUGAAAUUCGUAGAUAUCGAGAAGAACACCGGUGGCGAGGGCGGCCAACUGGACGGUGACUGACACUGAGACGCGAAAGCGUGGGGAGCAACAGG